rnacentral:rRNA from 1 species
UACGGGGGGGGCAAGCGUUGUUCGGAAUUACUGGGCGUAAAGGGCUCGUAGGCGGCCAACUAAGUCAGACGUGAAAUCCCUCGGCUUAACCGGGGAACUGCGUCUGAUACUGGAUGGCUUGAGUUUGGGAGAGGGAUGCGGAAUUCCAGGUGUAGCGGUGAAAUGCGUAGAUAUCGUGAGGAAGACCAGUGGCGAAGGCGGGUCUCUGGACAGUUCCUGACGCUGAGGCGCGAAGGCCAGGGGAGCAAACGGG